UACACUCCUGCGGGAGGCAGCAGUGGGGAAUUUUGGACAAUGGGCGAAAGCCUGAUCCAGCAAUGCCGCGUGAGUGAAGAAGGCCUUCGGGUUGUAAAGCUCUUUUGUCAGGGAAGAAACGGUGAAAGCUAAUAUCUUUUGCUAAUGACGGUACCUGAAGAAUAAGCACCGGCUAACUACGUGCCAGCAGCCGCGGUAAUACGUAGGGUGCAAGCGUUAAUCGGAAUUACUGGGCGUAAAGCGUGCGCAGGCGGUUUUGUAAGUCUGAUGUGAAAUCCCCGGGCUCAACCUGGGAAUUGCAUUGGAGACUGCAAGGCUAGAAUCUGGCAGAGGGGGGUAGAAUUCCACGUGUAGCAGUGAAAUGCGUAGAUAUGUGGAGGAACACCGAUGGCGAAGGCAGCCCCCUGGGUCAAGAUUGACGCUCAUGCACGAAAGCGUGGGGAGCAAACAGGAUUAGAUACCCUGGUAGUCCCAUGA
rnacentral:rRNA from 1 species